CAGGUUGAAGUUCAGGUAACACUGAAUGGAGGACCGAACCGACUUACGUUGAAAAGUGAGCGGAUGAACUGAGGGUAGCGGAGAAAUUCCAAUCGAACUUGGAGAUAGCUGGUUCUCUCCGAAAUAGCUUUAGGGCUAGCCUCAAGUGAUGAUUAUUGGAGGUAGAGCACUGUUUGGACGAGGGGCCCCUCUCGGGUUACCGAAUUCAGACAAACUCCGAAUGCCAAUUAAUUUAACUUGGGAGUCAGAACAUGGGUGAUAAGGUCCGUGUUCGAAAGGGAAACAGCCCAGACCACCAGCUAAGGUCCCAAAAUAUAUGUUAAGUGGAAAAGGAUGUGGCGUUGCCCAGACAACUAGGAUGUUGGCUUAGAAGCAGCCAUCAUUUAAAGAGUGCGUAAUAGCUCACUAGUCGAGUGACACUGCGCCGAAAAUGUACCGGGGCUAAACAUAUUACCGAAGCUGUGGAUUGUCCUUUGGACAAUGGUAGGAGAGCGUUCUAAGGGCGUCGAAGCAUGAUCGCAAGGACAUGUGGAGCGCUUAGAAGUGAGAAUGCCGGUGUGAGUAGCGAAAGACGGGUGAGAAUCCCGUCCACCGAUUGACUAAGGUUUCCAGAGGAAGGCUCGUCCGCUCUGGGUUAGUCGGGUCCUAAGCUGAGGCCGACAGGCGUAGGCGAUGGAUAACAGGUUGAUAUUCCUGUACCACCUAGUAUCGUUUUAAUCGAUGGGGGGACGCAGUAGGAUAGGCGAAGCGUGCUGUUGGAGUGCACGUCCAAGCAGUAAGGCUGAGUGUUAGGCAAAUCCGGCACUCAUAAGGCUGAGCUGUGAUGGGGAGAGGAAAUUGUUUCCUCGAGUCGUUGAUUUCACACUGCCGAGAAAAGCCUCUAGAUAGAUAACAGGUGCCCGUACCGCAAACCGACACAGGUAGUCAAGAUGAGAAUUCUAAGGUGAGCGAGCGAACUCUCGUUAAGGAACUCGGCAAAAUGACCCCGUAACUUCGGGAGAAGGGGUGCUCUUUAGGGUUCACGCCCAGAAGAGCCGCAGUGAAUAGGCCCAAGCGACUGUUUAUCAAAAACACAGGUCUCUGCUAAACCGUAAGGUGAUGUAUAGGGGCUGACGCCUGCCCGGUGCUGGAAGGUUAAGAGGAGUGGUUAGCUUCUGCGAAGCUACGAAUCGAAGCCCCAGUAAACGGCGGCCGUAACUAUAACGGUCCUAAGGUAGCGAAAUUCCUUGUCGGGUAAGUUCCGACCCGCACGAAAGGCGUAACGAUUUGGGCACUGUCUCAACGAGAGACUCGGUGAAAUCAUAGUACCUGUGAAGAUGCAGGUUACCCGCGACAGGACGGAAAGACCCCGUGGAGCUUUACUGUAGCCUGAUAUUGAAAUUCGGCACAGCUUGUACAGGAUAGGUAGGAGCCUUUGAAACGUGAGCGCUAGCUUACGUGGAGGCGUUGGUGGGAUACUACCCUAGCUGUGUUGGCUUUCUAACCCGCACCACUUAUCGUGGUGGGAGACAGUGUCAGGCGGGCAGUUUGACUGGGGCGGUCGCCUCCUAAAAGGUAACGGAGGCGCUCAAAGGUUCCCUCAGAAUGGUUGGAAAUCAUUCAUAGAGUGUAAAGGCAUAAGGGAGCUUGACUGCGAGACCUACAAGUCGAGCAGGGUCGAAAGACGGACUUAGUGAUCCGGUGGUUCCGCAUGGAAGGGCCAUCGCUCAACGGAUAAAAGCUACCCCGGGGAUAACAGGCUUAUCUCCCCCAAGAGUUCACAUCGACGGGGAGGUUUGGCACCUCGAUGUCGGCUCAUCGCAUCCUGGGGCUGUAGUCGGUCCCAAGGGUUGGGCUGUUCGCCCAUUAAAGCGGUACGCGAGCUGGGUUCAGAACGUCGUGAGACAGUUCGGUCCCUAUCCGUCGUGGGCGUAGGAAAUUUGAGAGGAGCUGUCCUUAGUACGAGAGGACCGGGAUGGACAUACCUCUGGUGUACCAGUUGUCGUGCCAACGGCAUAGCUGGGUAGCUAUGUAUGGACGGGAUAAGUGCUGAAAGCAUCUAAGCAUGAAGCCCCCCUCAAGAUGAGAUUUCCCAACUUCGGUUAUAAGAUCCCUCGAAGAUGACGAGGUUAAUAGGUUCGAGGUGGAAGCGUGGUGACACGUGGAGCUGACGAAUACUAAUCGAUCGAAGACUUAAUCAAUUUUUAAA
rnacentral:rRNA from 1 species